GUCUCAGUUCGGAUUNUAGUCUGCAACUCGACUACAUGAAGCUGGAAUCGCUAGUAAUCGCGAAUCAGAAUGUCGCGGUGAAUACGUUCCCGGGUCUUGUACACACCGCCCGUCACACCAUGGGAGUCGGAAAUGCCCGAAGUCAGUGACCUAACCGAGAGGGAGGAGCUGCCGAAGGUGGAGCCGGUAACUGGGGUGAAGUCGUAACAAGGUAAC
rnacentral:rRNA from 1 species